rnacentral:rRNA from 1 species
CCUACGGGAGGCAGCAGUGGGGGAUAUUGCACAAUGGGGGAAACCCUGAUGCAGCGACGCCGCGUGGGUGAAGAAGCGCCUCGGCGCGUAAAGCCCUGUCAGCGGGGAAGAAAAUGACGGUACCUGAAGAAGAAGCCCCGGCUAACUACGUGCCAGCAGCCGCGGUAAUACGAAGGGGGCAAGCGUUAUCCGGAUUUAUUGGGGGUAAAGGGGGCGCAGACGGCGAUGCAAGCCAGGAGUGAAAGCCCGGGGCCCAACCCCGGGACUGCUCUUGGAACUGCGUGGCUAGAGUGCAGGAGGGGCAGGCGGAAUUCCUGGUGUAGCGGUGAAAUGCGUAGAUAUCAGGAGGAACACCGGUGGCGAAGGCGGCCUGCUGGACUGCAACUGACGUUGAGGCCCGAAAGCGUGGGGAGCAAACAGGAUUAGAUACCCCAGUAGUC